AUGGCCUCUGGGCUCCCCUCGUUUCUAAGUGAUGCUGAUGGAGAUCGUGUGGUUACAAAGUCCCCGUUUUUCCCUAGAGAAAUCCAAAGCCUGAUGUCCCUGGGCUGUAUAUCCCAGGAUGGGAGGGCUUCUGGGGACAUCUGGGGUGAGCAGGGGGACAAUACUGGACCCAUCAAAGGGUUGCUCGCUUUCAGCCAUCCCCUUGGUGGGACCAGAACCUCCCUUUGCGUUCCUCAACGAGCAAAUGAAACACCUGGUCCAAAGAUUGUGUCCCCAACUCCAGCAACUAAUUACCCUGAGCAAAUAGCCCUGAUAAGACCUACUACAACCUCACACGUUGGGGACCCCUCUGCUGUCCCCCCUGGAGUGACACCCCCCCCACACACAAAAGGUAAGUCCUUCCCAAAGCCCAACGGUGUCCCCAGUACAGGGGACCAGGAGGGACAAGCCCUCUUGCCUGCAUGAUGGUUUCCCAGCUGCUUUCUGGGCUGAGCAUGGAGGAACCGCCCAACCUCAGGUGCUGGGAGCCCUCCAUCCCCACCUCCAUGCUCCCUGGCUUGGGACAAGACCUAUCCUCCCUGGUACAAGGGGUGAGUUGAGUGGUACCAACCAGAAACCCUCUCUGCUCUGAGCCUCUUCCAGAAAAAAAACAUUUUUGAUUUUAGCCAGCCAGUUCUGGGUAUCACAGAAUCUUCUAGGUUGGAAGGGACCUCAAAGAUCAUCUUGUCCAACCGUCAACCUGACUGACAAAAAUAGACACCCACACAACAAACAAGGAGCAUCAUCACUAAACCAGACCUCCCAGCACUACAUCAACCCGUCUUUUGAACACCUCCAGGGAUGGGGCCUCAACCCCCUCCCUGGGCAGCCCAUUCCAAUGGCUGAGAACCCUUUCUGUGAAAAAAUUGUUCCUAAUAUCCAGCCUGAACCUCCCCUGGGGCAACUUGAGGCCAUUUCCUCUCGUCCUGUCGACUCCUCACAUCCAUCCACCAUCACCGAGCGCCAGGAAGGCAACACAGCCCCGUUCCACCUCCAACCCAGCCUGAGGACCACAACCAGGACCAGAGGUACCGGGGGGCACGUUUCCAGCCUCCUCUCCUCCCCCAGCAACCAGAGACAGUGCUACAUAUGUAAAUAAUAAAUAAAUGUACCAUCCAAGCA
rnacentral:lncRNA from 1 species